AGUUUCGACCGUUUGGGUUAAAACCGAGAAACCUCUAAAAUCACAGACACCGACCUUUGAGAAAAUCUCUUUCUUUCUCUAAUUGAGCCGUUUGAAACGCCACGGUCCUAUUUCGAAUUGUGAGAAUUCAUAUAUGUAAGAAUGCAUUGUACGAUCGAUCUCUCAAAUUCAGAUUGUGUUGUGUGGUUCUCUCUCUGCAACGACGACGAUCGAGACGAUGAAGACGGA
rnacentral:lncRNA from 1 species